rnacentral:lncRNA from 1 species
GAAGCCGCCGGGGCCGCCUAGAGAAGAGGCUGUGCUUCGGCGCUCCGGCUCCUCAGAGAGCCUCGGCUAGGUGUGGAAACAGGAAGAGAACUAGAACUGGAAGUAAAGCAUUGAAGAUGUGACUGAAUUGCUGCAAUCUCAUGAUCAAAUUUGAAUGGAUGAGGAGUUGCUUUUUAGGGAUGAGCAAAGAAAGUGGUUUCUCGAGAUGGAAUCUACUGGUGAAGUUGCUGUGAACAUUGUUAAAAUGCCAAUAAAGGAUUUAGGAAUUACAGAAACCUGGUUGAUAAAGCAGUGCCAGGGUGUGAGAGAGUUGACUUCAAUUUUGAAAUAAGUUCCACUGGCUGGGUGUGGUGGCUCACACCUGCAAUCCCAGUACUUUAGGAGGCCGAGACUGGUAGAUCAUUUGAGGUCAGGAGUUCAAGACCAGCCUUGCCAACAUGGUGAAACCCCACCUCUACCAAAUUAGCCAGGUUGCUCCUUGAGGGCAGGACAGUUCUUAUGGCUUUAUCCGUUGCGUAAGCACAGAGAGGUCUGCGAGGUCAAAACUAUUGUCAUGAUAGCAAGAUGCCUGUCUUUUUCAUUUAUUCUCACGGUGUGCAGAGGCUACAUGAUGUGUGAUGACAUCCUCAUUGAUGUUAAUGAAUGGUGCUAUACUUGAAUUUUCUAAGGUGUCAUUAGCAAUUCUCCUGCCUCAGCCUCCUGCAUAACUGGGACUACAGGGAAGCACCAUUUUCCACAAAACUCUCAAGAAGGACUUGUUGCAACUGGAAAAGCAAUUAAAUGUGAAUCGUGAUCCAGGAGAAAGUAACAACUCACAUAACUCCCAAAUUAAAAGUUUUCCAAAGAUAUAUCAUUUUUUUUCUCUUGGCCUUUUAAGAAACUAGCCAACAAAUACUCUUGACAGGUUUGUGUUUGGUUUUGAAAACACACACCUUAGUGUACUGAAAGAAAAACAAUUUCUUUUAAUUUGGUUUGUUGGUCCCACACCCCAUCUAUCAAUGUAUGUGCUAUUUACAAAUAAGUUCUAUACAGUAUUUUUGCAGUACCUUUGAUAAUUCCUAGACCUCUAUUUUCAUUCUGUGUAUUAAUGUGAAUAACAGAUGGAUAUUUUAAUAUUUAAGGCAGAUGGUAAACUUUCCUAUAGGUCUUGUGAGACUUCGUCUUAUAGGCUGAACACCAUUCACAAAAUGUAAUAAUGCUUCAUUCCUUCAGGUUGAGGUAAAGAACUUGAGCAACUGGAUUAGCAAAGCUGCAAAGAAUGAAAUGUGGCCUAAGAUGUAAUUAUGUUCUCUGCCCUUCCUUUGGGCCAGGGUAGUUUUGCACUUGACACAAUGGAAAAUAGGCCAUAAAGCCUGAAAAUAAAAUGUUCUAAACCC